AGCGAUAUCACACACAAAAAGAUGAGUUCCUGUAAUAUUGGACUAAUCGACUGAUGUCAGUGGGGAAGCCCAGUUGAUUGCGUGUGUGCAAUACAGAGACAUUUCGGAAAUUUAUGAGCACAUUCUGUUCUGCUAAAAGCUCUCCGGGAGAACUACAGAUCUACAUCUCCACCUCCUCUUCUGUCCGACACACCUGUGAUGGGGGGAGGGGCCGUGUCAAGAGUUUAGCAGAUUGAGAGGAAGCUAUUCCGAGCAGCAUGGAUAUGUCAUUGGCCGAAGUGAGCCAACUCCCACCGUCCUCCACCAUGAUGUGGCCCGUCAACAAGAGGAGGCGCGGCUGUUCAGGAACAGCUCACUGUGGGCCAGCUCCAUCUUGUUGCCGACCCGCUGCGGAGGGAUGGAUGAGAAGGCAUCCAUGCUCUCUGCUCUGUUGCGACCUGAGGACAAGAGAGAUGGGGCUACGCAGCCACAGAUCCUUACCCAGCCUACAGAAGCCCUCUGCCCGAAAUAGGACCUGGUGCCAGUGUGUUAACCCUUACCCCACUUGGUCCCCACUCAACGGCCAGGUGCUUGGUCAUGGCAUCUGGGAGAGAGAGAUGUGGACAGGAAAAGGGGAGUGGGGUGAAGAAAGAGAGGGAAAGUAAUCAGUGUGCUUCCUAGGUUA